UACGUAGGGGGCUAGCGUUGUCCGGAUUUACUGGGCGUAAAGCGCGCGCAGGCGGCCCGUUAAGUCGGAUGUGAAAACCUGGGGCUCAACCCCAGGCCUGCACCCGAUACUGGCGGGCUCGAGGCAGGUAGGGGAGAGUGGAAUUCCCGGUGUAGCGGUGGAAUGCGUAGAGAUCGGGAAGAACAUCAGUGGCGAAGGCGGCCUGCUGGGCUGUUGCUGACGCUGAGGCGCGACAGCGUGGGGAGCAAACAGG
rnacentral:rRNA from 1 species